GACGAACGCUGGCGGCGUGCUUAACACAUGCAAGUCGAACGGAAAGGCCCUGCUUUUGUGGGGUGCUCGAGUGGCGAACGGGUGAGUAACACGUGAGUAACCUGCCCUUGACUUUGGGAUAACUUCAGGAAACUGGGGCUAAUACCGGAUAGGAGCUCCUGCUGCAUGGUGGGGGUUGGAAAGUUUCGGCGGUUGGGGAUGGACUCGCGGCUUAUCAGCUUGUUGGUGGGGUAGUGGCUUACCAAGGCUUUGACGGGUAGCCGGCCUGAGAGGGUGACCGGCCACAUGGGGACUGAGAGACGGCCCAGUCGCCUACGGGAGACAGCAGUGGGGAAUAUUGCACAAUGGGCGGACGCGUGAUGCAGCAACGCCGCGUGCGGGAUGACGGCCUUCGGGGUAUAAACCGCUUUAGCCUGUGACGAAGCGUGAGUGACGGUAAUGGGUAAAGAAGCACCGGCUAACUACGUG
rnacentral:rRNA from 1 species